rnacentral:rRNA from 1 species
AACGAACGCUGGCGGCAGGCCUAACACAUGCAAGUCGAGCGCGUAGCAAUACGAGCGGCGCACGGGAUAGUAACGCGUGGGAACCUACCUUUCGGUUCGGAAUAACACCGGGAAACUGGUGCUAAUACCGGAUACGCCCUUCGGGGGAAAGAUUUAUUGCCGAUAGAUGGGCCCGCGGUGGAUUAGCUAGUUGGUGAGGUAACGGCUCACCAAGGCAACGAUCCAGAGCUGGUCUGAGAGGAUGAUCAGCAUAACUGGGACUGAGACACGGCCACGAAUCCGUCGGGAGGCACCAGUAGGGCAUAUUGGGCAAUGGGGGCAAUCCUCAUCCCGCCAUGCCGGGUGAAUGAUGAAGGCCUGCGGGUUGUGAAGUUCUUUUAGUGGGUACGAUGAUGACGGUACCCACAGAAUAAGCUCCGGCUAACUUUGUGCCAGCCGCCGCGGUAA